rnacentral:lncRNA from 1 species
GGGUUUUAGUAGCAAAGAGAGUUUAGGACAUCCAUAUAGAUGAAUGGAGAUGGAUGAUAAAAAUCUCCAUUCCUAUUGAUCAAAAAUCAUGACCAAUAGGCUUUGAGGAGGCUGCCCGAGGCCAUAUUAGAGAUUAGGUUUAGUUUUUUGAGGCCAUUUGAGCUUUGAAGGCUAGAAUCAGAAAGUUUAGGUUUUUGGCUAUGGUUUUGGUACAAAGCUUGUA